rnacentral:rRNA from 1 species
GGGGGGGGGCAAGCGUUGUUCGGAAUUACUGGGCGUAAAGGGCGCGCAGGCGGCCCGGCCAGUCCUACGUGAAAUCCCACAGCUCAACUGUGGAACUGCGUGGGAUACUGCCAGGCUUGAGUCCGGGAGAGGAGAGUGGAAUUCCCAGUGUAGCGGUGAAACGCGUAGAUAUUGGGAGGAACACCGGUGGCGAAGGCGGCUCUCUGGACCGGCACUGACGCUGAGGCGCGAAAGCUAGGGGAGCAAACGGGAUUAGAUACCCCGGUAGUCCUAGCCCUAAACGAUGAGCACUUUGUGUGGCGGGUAUCGACCCCUGCCGUGCAGAAGCUAACGCAUUAAGUGCUCCGCCUGGGGAGUACGGUCGCAAGGCUG